rnacentral:lncRNA from 1 species
UUUCUUCAGCUGGCUGCUGGCAACACAGAUGUUUAAACUCUCAUGAACAUUUAUCAAGCUGUGUGGAGCCUGCUCCCCUUCACCUUCUGCCAAGACUGGAAGCUCCCUGAGGGCCUCACAAGAAGCAGAUACUGGUUCCAUGCUUCUUGUACAGCCUGCAGAACUGUGAGGCAAAUAAGCCUCUUUUUGGUAUAAAUGACCUGCCUCAGGCCUUCCUUUAUAGCAAAGCAAAUGGACGAAGACAGAGGACUCUGGCUGAGAGCUCCAGAUUCUCCAUCUUCACACUUCUCAGGGAAGACGCAAGAGCUGCACUGUCCAGUGGGUAACUGCUACCUACAUGUUGCUAUUUACAUUCAAAAUAAUUAAAAUUAGAUACAGUUUAAGCUCUA